AUCCAGGGAGAGAGGGGCACCAGGUGGCCAAUGGAUGAGAAGUCACCCGGCUGGGUACGCAGGUGGCCAGGGGAUGGCAGAUGGGCCAAAGCGGGGCGGAGGCGGCCCUGGGCGGAUCAGGGGGUGGGUGGCUGAGGGAUAUGUGUGCGGAGGAGGUGGGCUGUCCUCCCACCCACCGGUCUCCCGACCAGCGAGCAAGCUUUGGACAAGGCCAAAGAGCAUUGGGCUGCUGGAAGCUGGGGCAUCGGCGCAGCCUUCGGGGUGAACUUACGUGCUCGCUGACAAUGUCCUUAAAGUCCUGGCAUCCUCAGAGCAAGACAAAAAGAGUGGGGGCAAGCGAAGGUAACCCCCAGUGGGGCUCUGGAAGUAUGGAGGCCCCUCUCCUUUCCUCCUUCCUUCCACCUCUGGCCAGCGAGGCAGAACUCACAGGCAACACCUGGUUUCUGCACAGAUGCAGCUGCAUUUUGAACCUAGAGGAAAGCAUGGACAGCGACUGGGGGGCUUGGUGGGGGGUGUCGCUCCCUAGAAGGGCACCUUUUCUGAUAUAUGGGUCAGAUGGGCCUUGGUGCACACAGGCAGGCUUCCCAGGAUGGGGACAUUGACAAGGAGGCAACAGUCCUCUCUCCUCCACUCCAGUGACUAAUAAAAGCUAACAUUUAUGUAGCACUUA
ensembl:lncRNA BAALC-AS2 BAALC antisense RNA 2